rnacentral:rRNA from 1 species
UGGUGGCGACCGGCGCACGGGUGAGUAACGCGUAUGCAACCCACUUAUCAGAGGGGAAUAACCCGGCGAAAGUCGGACUAAUACCUCAUAAAACAGGGACACCGCAUGGUGAUAUUUGUUAAAGAAAUUCGCUGAUAGAUGGGCAUGCGUUCCAUUAGGUAGUUGGUGAGGUAACGGCUCACCAAGCCGACGAUGGAUAGGGGAACUGAGAGGUUGGUCCCCCACACUGGUACUGAGACACGGACCAGACUCCUACGGGAGGCAGCAGUGAGGAAUAUUGGUCAAUGGGCGAGAGCCUGAACCAGCCAAGUCGCGUGAAGGAAGAAGGAUCUAUGGUUCGUAAACUUCUUUUGCAGGGGAAUAAAGUGCAGGACGUGUCCUGUUUUGUAUGUACCCUGAGAAUAAGGAUCGGCUAACUCCGUGCCAGCAGCCGCGGUAAUACGGAGGAUCCGAGCGUUAUCCGGAUUUAUUGGGUUUAAAGGGUGCGUAGGUGGUUUGAUAAGUCAGCGGUGAAAGUUUGCAGCUUAACUGUAAAAAUGCCGUUGAAACUGUCGGACUUGAGUGUAAAUGAGGUAGGCGGAAUGCGUGGUGUAGCGGUGAAAUGCUUAGAUAUCACGAAGAACUCCGAUUG